rnacentral:rRNA from 1 species
AUAUUAAUAAGGGGAGGAAAAGAAAAUAACAAUGAUUCCCCUAGUAACGGCGAGUGAAGCGGGAAGAGCUCAAAUUGAAAAUCGACUAUUCAAGCGGGUCGUCGAAUUGUAGCCUAGAGACACGUUGUCAGUGUGUGACCCAGAUUAAAGUCUUUUGAAACAAGGCAUCACAGAGGGUGAGAAUCCCGUCUAUAAUCUGGAGUUCGCCACGUACGACGCGUGUUCAUUGAGUCGAGUUGUUUGGGAUUGCAGCUCUAAAUGGCGGGUAAAUUCCUUCUAAAGCUAAAUACUGGCCAGAGACCGAUAGCGCACAAGUA